UUCAGAGUGAGAGAUCAUUGUAACUUUUUUUGCAUUUAGUGUAGCUACUUACCCGGCACCGCGUCACUCGUAGGUUGAGUGUCCGCAACAGAACGUCAAAUUGUAGCUGGUGGAUACUGAUAUGCGCGUCAUUGUGUUUUUGUACGGGAAAGAGAGUGAGGAGUGGAGAGAAAGAGGGAGGUAACGUUAGGUAUGUGCCACCUGACUGCCUGCAGAUGCCUUUGCAGCAGCAGGGAAUGGACCUUCCAAAGGAUGUAGGUGACAGGAUACAUUUGCGGGGGAAAUGCCAAUGGAAUCUUUUUGAACAAUGCGUGUCCACGGCGACAUAUCGACAUAUUUUCAAAACAAAUGAUGUAGCAUGUUAGUUUGUGUACUAGCGACACAAGUGCGUACGGGACUAUUAUGCAGAGUCUCACUGCGGCUGCAGCAGGGAGCUACUUGAAUUCUCAAAUAGUUUUACGAAAGCGACAGGAUCCCUGCCGACCACAAGAAAUGCAGCAGGCUUUUCCACAAUGACAGUGGCUGUGUCCUGCGUUUCAUUCACCUCUAGGGAUAGGACGAAUGUUUGAAAAAAGAGUGUUCUGUGUUUAUCAAGCAAACGAUCUCUCUUUUGACGUCUACAGAAGUCCUCAUCAAAUCCAAUAUGUUUUGCUGAUAAAGGAUCGAUCAAUCAUCAAGGACAUCGAUCAAGAUGGAAAGCGAGGUUUUUCUUCCCCAUCUGGAGCAAUUUAUGCUCAGCCCGCUUGUCAUUUGGGUGAAGACAUUUGGGCAAAACUAUGGGAACAUGACAUUGGAUUAUCCCGAAUUACUGGAUGGGGUCGUUUUGAACAAGAUCAUGAUUCAAAUAAAUCCCAAAGCGACUCUUCCGAGCGUCAACAAAGUGAACGACGACCCCAGUCAGAGGAUUCUGAACCUGACCGUUCUCAUCCGUCAAAUCAAAACCUAUUACCUAGAGACUCUGAGGCAGCUGAUCAUGAUGCCUUUACCCAACGUGUUGGUGCUUGGCAGGACUCCUCACUGUGAGCAAAGUCUGGAGGAAAUGAAGAAAUUACUUCUUCUCUUAUUGGGCUGUGCUGUCCAGUGUGAGAAGAAAGAGGAGUACGUCGAACGCAUCCAGACCCUCGACUUUGACACGAAAGCAGCAAUAGCUGCUCAUAUCCAAGAGGUUACCCACAGUCAGGACAGUGUAUUGGACCUCCAUUGGCUGGAGGCCAGCGAGCUCUGUGCUGAGGACCUGGAGACCCUGUUCAGACGCCUGGUGGACCAGAGAGACACACAGCUGGAGACUAUUUUAGAGCUAAUGCAGGAGAGAGAGUCCACCCCGUCACCCUCUCCGCCCAGCGCCCAGUCCCCCAGUGACUGUCCCAGCAUGCAACAGCAGGCGACCUCCCACCAGCACUUGUCUGUGGAGCUGGCCGACUCCAAGGCGAAGGUCAGACGGCUGCGCCAGGAGCUAGAGGAGAAGAGUGAGCAGGUACAGGACUGCAGACAGGAGCUGGAGAACAUGGAGGCUGAGUUCAACAGGAUUCAACAGGAGAACUCUGUGUUGCUAGCGGAGGCCCGGUCAGCCCGUACGUACCGUGACGAGCUGGAUGCCCUGAGAGAGAGGGCCAUCAGGGCUGACAAGCUGGAGAGCGAGGUGGGACGAUACCGCGAGAAGCUGCACAACAUGGAGUUCUACAAGGCCAAAGUGGAGGAGCUGAAGGAGGAUAACUCUGUGUUGCUGGAGACCAAGGCUGUACUGCAGCAGCAGCUGGAGGGGUGGAGGGCCCGCUCUGAUAAACUACACCAGCUAGAGAAACACAGUCUGCUGCUCAACGCCAGGGUCCACGUCAUGGAACAGGAGAAGGAGGUGGACAGGAGGCGUAUGGAGGAGCUGCAGGAGGAGAACCUGGCCCUGGAGCUGGCCCAGAGGAGGAGCAUGGAGGAGUCACAGCACCUGGGAUGGGAGCUGGAGCAGCUGUCCAGGAGCCCCGACAACUCACAGGGUCAGAAGUCUCUGGGUGAGGAGGUGGUUGAGGGGACCAGGAGUCGUCUGCUGAGGCUGGAGAGAGAGAACCAAAGCCUGCUCAGGACCAUAGAGGAACUGAGAGCUGCUGACCUCAGCCUGGGACCGCAGCACAACCAUAACCAUGAGCACAUGUGGAGGGACGGCCAGCGACCCACAAACACGGCUGAGGUGGUUAGAGAGUACCUUGGCAGUUUAGACAACACCUCCUGGGAGCAGUCUGAAUUGGUCAUCAAAGAGGAUUGUGACAUUGACAUAGACACAUCACAUCACAGGGACCCAGAGUGCAACGGAGUGGCGGUUGACCUAGAGGGAGAGAUUGACCGACUGGAGAGAGAGAGCGAGACCCUCAAGGAGAAGAUGGACCUUCAGAAGCAAGAGAAAGGCCAACUUGAAGACGGAGAGUCUUGCGACCUGAGUGACCCCAUAGCUGACCUGGAAGCUGUAGCUAAAGACAACACCCGCAAUCUCCUUCAACCAGGCGCUUCAGUGUCUCUGACGCGUGAUACCUCACCCUACUCUACUCGGGAGAACAGUAGCACAGGGCUGCAGGUGAGGGCUUCCUCUUCAUCCACGAAGCACACAGAGCGUCUGGAAGCUAAGUGUAGAGCCCUGGACACAGAGAACCAGCGGCUUCAGGCUGCCCUGGACAACACAGGCCGGAAGCUCCAGCGGCUGGAGGCCGAGGUCCACGAGCUGGAGGCUGAGAACCAGAUCCUGCAGGCUGGGCUGGAGGAGCUGAGGAUCUCCUCGCGGCGCAUGGAGCAGCUGGAGCAGGAGAAGCAGACCUUGGAGCAGGAGGCUUCAGGCCUGGAGAGAGACAAGAGGAGGCUGGAGAAGGAGAACCGCAGGCUGAGGCAGCAGGCAGAGAUCCAGGACUCUACCCUGGACGGGAGCAACCUGAGGGUGGCUAGUCUGGAGAGAGAGAACAGGGGGAUGGGGAAGGAGGUGGAGAGGCUGAAGGAGGUGGAGGAGAGGGUCAAGGGGCUGGAGAGGGAUAACAGAGAGCUGGCCAAGCAGGGAGCGAUCAACCAGAGGGCCCUGGUCACCCUGAGAGAGGAGUUGGUGAGUGACAAGCUGAAGACGCAGCAGAGGGAGAAUGAGCUGGAGAGGCUGGCCCACGAGCUGGAGAUGAGAGUCCUCAACCAGGACACAUCACCACAGAGUGACGAGGAAACUCCAGACACCAGUAGGUUCAAGAUGUUGGAGUCUGAGCUGGAGUCGUCUCUGAAGAGGUCCCUGCAGAUCAAAGAAGACAAGAUGGCUGCCGUUGAGGCUCGUCUGCAGGAGUCCUCCACCCUCAACCAGCAGCUACGUCAAGAGCUCAAGACUGUGCGUCUGAACUACGAAGCCCUGCUGCAGAGGGAGGAGGAGGAGCAUGCGGCGUGUAGCCCCACCCCUCAGAGGGAGAGUGACAGGGCGGUAAGCGGAUGGCAGCGGGAGAGCCAGGAGGCCACCAGGGAGCUGCUGAGGGUCAAGGACCGCCUCAUCGAGGUGGAGAGGAAUAAUGCCACACUGCAGGCAGAGCGUCAGGCACUGCAGGUCCAUCUCAGACAGCUGGAGACCCAGUCAGAUGGCCUGCAGGCUCAGAUGCUGGCCCUGCAGAGACAGACAGCCUCCCUGCAGGAGAACAACACGGCUCUCCAGACACACAACGCUAACCUGCAGGUCGAAAAGUCCACUCUGAACUCCCAGAGUGCAUCACUCCUGGCCCAGAACGCUCAGCUCCAAUGUCAACAAUCCAGCACUGAGGGUGAUAAGGAGGUGGCCAUGCGUGAGCGCGAGGAGCUGCGCGGCGUGCACGACCAGCUCCUGAGGGACCACGAGAGGCUGGCGGCGCUGCACGAGAGACAAGCCAUGGACUAUGAGGCCCUGAUGGGGAAACACGGCUGUCUGAAGAACGUCCACCGCACUCUGGAGCUGGAGCAUAGAACGCUGGAGGACAGGUACAAAUCCCUGCUGCAGCAGAAGGCCAAACUAGAGGGUCUGGAGAAGGCUCUGAGAGAGGAGCACGACAAGAUGUCUGUGGAGAAGGAGCAGCACAGGACCACCGCCUCAGAGUGUCGACAGCUCCGGGAUGAGAAGGACUGGCUGAACCAGACGUACCGUCAGCUGUUGAAGGAUCAGGAGGAGCUCCAGGCGGACCAUAAGAACAUGAAGACCCUGCUGAACAGCACCAAGCUGGAGCAGACCAAGCUCGAGUCCGACUUCAACAAGCUCAGAGAGCAGUACCAACAGCUAGACAUCACCAACACCAAGCUCACCAACCAGUGUGAGCUGCUGAGUCAGUUGAAGGGGAACCUGGAGGAGGAGAACCGGCACCUGCUGGACCAGAUCCAGACCCUGAUGCUGCAGAACCGCACCCUGCUAGAACAGACGAUGGAGAGCAAGGACCUGUUCCACGUAGAACAGAGACAGCACAUAGACAAGCUGAAUGAGCUGAGGAGACAGAAGGAGAAGUUGGAGGAGAAGAUCAUGGACCAGUACAAGUUCUAUGACCCCUCACCCCCACGGAGGCGUGGGAACUGGAUUGCCUUGAAGAUGAGGAAGCUGAUGAAGCCGAGGAGCCGCGAGCGUUGUGGCCCCGCCUCCUCUUCUGACCACCAUCGCUCCCUCACCCCCACACGCUCUGGCUCCUUCGAGGCCCUCCCGCCCACCUCCCCCUCUGCUUCCUGUUGCCAAGACAAUGGCUCCUUCGUGGGUUCAGACGGCUCGGGUGGGUCCACCACCUCCCCCCGGAGGAGCAGCACCCUGAAUGACCUGGACAAACUGAAUGACUUGGUGUACCCCUCAACCCUGUCUGAGGACCCUGAGCAGCUAGAGGGGUCAGAGGUCAAGAAUGACAGAUCCAGGAAGGAAUCUAUGACCUCAUCCAUGAGCGACUCCAUCUUGUCCAUCAUCAACCAUCAACACCAGCCCACCACCACUCCUUUGUUUUAUCCCACCACCACUGCUGCUGCCGCUGCCACUGAUGGCAAUGAGCGAUGUUUGACAGACAAGGAUUGUAAUGACAGUGCUGUUGCUGCUGACUUUGACGACAGGGAUGAACUACAAAACCACGGUCUGAAUGGUGUGCCGAGCCGUGCCCAGAGCCAGAGCAGUGGAGAGUUCAGCCUCAGCCUAGACAACGAACCCUGGUCCAACGGCAGUAGCCCGGUCCAGCCGCCUCUGUCAUCCCGCCACUCCUCUUCCUCUUGCCUUCCGCCUAGCGAUACCUCCACCCCCCGACAUACACGGCAGAACCCCUCGCCGACCACACACACACAGCAGCGAUCCACUUCCUUAACACACACCAGCAGCAACAAACACAGAGAGAGGGUAGGAGUAAAGAACUCCUCACCUAUUGCCAUAGCAAACACCCAGGGUUCAGUUCCCUGUAGGGGGAGGGAGGUGGGUAGCACCCAGGACCCCUGGCCCAGAAGGAGUGUCCUCAGGAGGUGCGCCAGCGGCAGCAGAGCCCCCCAGUGCCCUUCCGAUGGGAAUGUCCCCAAAACAGCUCAGGGGCAGGUUGCCGUACUACCUCGAUCUGGAUUAGGUCUGAACAAAGCUCCGGAGACCACCACCACCCGAGCCUCAGCCAUGUCCCCGAUCACGGUGCUCUACGUCCAGGGUAAAUCUUCCUCAGUGUCUGGGUGUCUCAACUGUUUCUCCACCCCGUUGGGGAAGGAGGCGCGUCUGAGAGGGCCAUGGUCUCCUGCCUCUCUACCCCGGGCCAGUAGCGUCAUCUCAACAGCCGAGGGUUCCUCGCGACGAUCCAGUGUCAACAGUUACUCUAGGGUGAUGGCGAAAGUAGAUCCCUUACCUAUCAUGGAAUCUGAUGGGAACCCAAAUCAGGUUAAUCAGAAUCAGAACAAGCAGAACAAUCCAGAAGAACGAGACACUGAUAAUCACCCACCACCACCAAGCAAACCCCCCAGAGACCCAGCGAUAGCCACCGAUCGACCCAAAUCCACCUGCCAUGAAUCCCUCUUCGGUGGCACCCCUUUCAACCUAGACUCUGUCUUCUCAGACACUAUCUUUAGCGAGUCGGUAGUCACCACCACUACUAGUGACAGCAGCAAUAAUAACAAUAAGAACCAGACAUUCCUCUGUCUGGACCCAGAACUGGUGCGUAACAUCAGUUGCCCGCCCCUGAGGCAGGAGUCCACUAACGGCACGGCACUGGGACACCUGGACAAUGUACAGAGCCAAAAUGGAGGACAAGAAGACUGUGAGAGUAAUACUGUAGAAAUCACUCAGUGCUGAUUGCCGAUGACAGGUAGUUUGUAGUUGCAUGUAGAAACAGGUAGUUGUGAAUGUCAGUACCAACGUAGUACUAAUCAUUACCAAUGUAGUACCAACAUUGUUUAAAAGAGACUUGUUUCUCUAAUGUACAGAUUUUUAUAUUUAGUCCAAAUGAAGAUGUAAAUAAAAUGUACUUUUAGGGAAUAAGUUGUUGUUUUCAAGUUGUUGUUUUCACAUCGACAAUAUUCCUUUGUUGUUUGACAAAAGUUUUCAGUAUUAUACGGUCUAUGUUUUCAUUUGUAUUUAUAAUCCUGUGUUGAUAUUUGUGUUUUAUUUGUGUUUAUAGGCCGUGUCAAUCUACAAAUGCUUAAAGUCCCUAUUCAUAUGUACUCUUUGUUGUUCUAGUUAUACACAUAAACACUUCAACCGAAAAACCAUAGCUCUCUGUCCAGAGUGUUGAUAGUACAUACAGACUAGUAGACAACAUGUACAUUACAUUACCUUGUUAGUUUAUUACCACGCUGGACAUUACAGUGAACUUAUAACAACAAACACAAUCAGUAAUGAUCUGAUUAGGAAAAACGCACCAAUAUGGUUCCUCGGUCGAGUGUCAUGUCAUGUGUCAUAUCAGUGUCAUGUCAUGUGUCAUAUCAGUGUCAUGUCAUGUGUUAUAUCAGUGUCAUGUCAUGUGUUAUAUCAGUGUCAUGUCAUGUGUCAUAUCAGUGUCAUGUCAUGUGUCAUAUCAGUGUCAUGUCAUGUGUCAUCAGUGUCAUGCCAUGUGUUAUAUCAGUGUCAUGUCAUGUGUCAUAUCAGUGUCAUGUCAUGUGUUAUAUCAGUGUCAUGUCAUGUGUUAUAUCAGUGUCAUGUCAUGUGUUAUAUCAGUGUCAUGUCAUGUGUUAUAUCAGUGUCAUGUCAUGUGUUAUAUUAGUGUCAUGUCAUGUGUCAUAUCAGUGUCAUGUCAUGUGUUAUAUCAGUGUCAUGUCAUGUGUCAUAUCAGUGUCAUGUCAUGUGUCAUCAGUGUCAUGUCAUGUGUUAUAUCAGUGUCAUGUCAUGUGUUAUAUCAGUGUCAUGUCAUGUGUCAUAUCAGUGUCAUGUCAUGUGUCAUCAGUGUCAUGUCAUGUGUUAUAUCAGUGUCAUGUCAUGUGUCAUAUCAGUGUCAUGUCAUGUGUCAUCAGUGUCAUGCCAUGUGUUAUAUCAGUGUCAUGUCAUGUGUCAUAUCAGUGUCAUGUCAUGUGUCAUAUCAGUGUCAUGUCAUGUGUCAUCAGUGUCAUGUCAUGUGUCAUCAGUGUCAUGUCAUGUGUUAUAUCAGUGUCAUGUCAUGUGUCAUAUCAGUGUCAUGUCAUGUGUCAUAUCAGUGUCAUGUCAUGUGUUAUAUCAGUGUCAUGUCAUGUGUUAUAUCAGUGUCAUGUCAUGUGUCAUAUCAGUGUCAUGUCAUGUGUUAUAUCAGUGUCAUGUCAUGUGUUAUAUCAGUGUCAUGUCAUGUGUCAUAUCAGUGUCAUGUCAUGUGUCAUAUCAGUGUCAUGUCAUGUGUUAUAUCAGUGUCAUGUCAUGUGUUAUAUCAGUGUCAUGUCAUGUGUUAUAUCAGUGUCAUGUCAUAUCAGUGUCAUGUCAUGUGUUAUAUCAGUGUCAUGUCAUGUGUCAUAUCAGUGUCAUGUCAUGUGUCAUCAGUGUCAUGUCAUGUGUUAUAUCAGUGUCAUGUCAUAUCAGUGUCAUGUCAUGUGUUAUAUCAGUGUCAUGUCAUGUGUCAUAUCAGUGUCAUGUCAUGUGUCAUCAGUGUCAUGUCAUGUGUUAUAUCAGUGUCAUGUCAUGUGUCAUAUCAGUGUCAUGUCAUGUGUCAUCAGUGUCAUGUCAUGUGUCAUAUCAGUGUCAUGUCAUGUGUCAUAUCAGUGUCAUGUCAUGUGUUAUAUCAGUGUCAUGUCAUGUGUCAUAUCAGUGUCAUGUCAUGUGUCAUAUCAGUGUCAUGUCAUGUGUUAUAUCAGUGUCAUGUCAUGUGUUAUAUCAGUGUCAUGUCAUGUGUUAUAUCAGUGUCAUGUCAUGUGUUAUAUCAGUGUCAUGUCAUGUGUCAUAUCAGUGUCAUGUCAUGUGUCAUAUCAGUGUCAUGUCAUGUGUUAUAUCAGUGUCAUGUCAUGUGUUAUAUCAGUGUCAUGUCAUGUGUUAUAUCAGUGUCAUGUCAUAUCAGUGUCAUGUCAUGUGUUAUAUCAGUGUCAUGUCAUGUGUCAUAUCAGUGUCAUGUCAUGUGUCAUCAGUGUCAUGUCAUGUGUUAUAUCAGUGUCAUGUCAUGUGUUAUAUCAGUGUCAUGUCAUGUGUCAUAUCAGUGUCAUGUCAUGUGUCAUAUCAGUGUCAUGUCAUGUGUCAUCAGUGUCAUGUCAUGUGUCAUAUCAGUGUCAUGUCAUGUGUCAUAUCAGUGUCAUGUCAUGUGUCAUAUCAGUGUCAUGUCAUGUGUCAUAUCAGUGUCAUGUCAUGUGUUAUAUCAGUGUCAUGUCAUGUGUUAUAUCAGUGUCAUGUCAUGUGUCAUAUCAGUGUCAUGUCAUGUGUUAUAUCAGUGUCAUGUCAUGUGUAAUAUCAGUGUCAUGUCAUGUGUCAUCAGUGUCAUGUCAUGUGUUAUAUCAGUGUCAUGUCAUGUGUCAUAUCAGUGUCAUGUCAUGUGUCAUAUCAGUGUCAUGUCAUGUGUCAUAUCAGUGUCAUGUCAUGUGUUAUAUCAGUGUCAUGUCAUGUGUUAUAUCAGUGUCAUGUCAUGUGUCAUAUCAGUGUCAUGUCAUGUGUUAUAUCAGUGUCAUGUCAUGUGUCAUAUCAGUGUCAUGUCAUGUGUCAUCAGUGUCAUGUCAUGUGUCAUGUGGGGACUGAGUUUUUGUUUGGUUUGUUCAGUUUGUUUUUUUGUUUGCUUUUCAUUGUCUCUGCUUCAUUGUCUCUGCAAAAAUCCAAUACUGAGAUUGUCCUCAGUGAAGAUGAAACCUUGUAAAUGUAAAUGUGUGCAGGGACUUCAGGAGCCACAGUUGAAUAAAGCCCUUUUCAUUCCUUUAAUAUA